GAUGAACGCUGGCGGCGUGCCUAAUACAUGCAAGUCGAGCGAACGGACGAGAAGCUUGCUUCUCUGAUGUUAGCGGCGGACGGGCGAGUAACACGUGGAUAACCUACCUAUAAGACUGGGAUAACUUCGGGAAACCGGAGCUAAUACCGAAUAAUAUUUUGAACCGCAUGGUUCAAAAGUGAAAGACGGUCUUGCUGUCACUUAUAGAUGGAUCCGCGCUGCAUUAGCUAGUUGGUAAGGUAACGGCUUACCAAGGCAACGAUGCAUAGCCGACCUGAGAGGGUGAUCGGCCACACUGGAACUGAGACACGGUCCAGACUCCUACGGGAGGCAGCAGUAGGGAAUCUUCCGCAAUGGGCGAAAGCCUGACGGAGCAACGCCGCGUGAGUGAUGAAGGUCUUCGGAUCGUAAAACUCUGUUAUUAGGGAAGAACAUAUGUGUAAGUAACUGUGCACAUCUUGACGGUACCUAAUCAGAAAGCCACGGCUAACUACGUG
rnacentral:rRNA from 1 species